AAUGCGGUAGUUAGCUACAGUACAACAGUAGAAGCAGAACUGAUCAGCAGGGUUUCACAGAAUUUCAACAUGAGGAAUUUUCUCAGCAAAAAAACUCCAAAUGAUUACUGAGCCUGAAUUAAUUAAACCGAUCUGAUAAAAAGAUCAACCAACCAAUAAAAACACGAGGACAGUACAAUGAAACCAAGGUAUCAAGGACAGAAGACAGAACUCUGUAUAUCAGAGUCUGGAAAUGUGCCAUGAUCUCUGGUUGUAUCAGAGGAGGCAGGUGGGAGGAGCUAUAGGAGGAUGGGCUCAUUGUAAUGGCUGGAAUUAAAUUAAUGGAAGGGAGUCAAACAUGUGGUAUUCAUAUGUUUGAUACCGUUACAUUCAGCCAUUUCAAUGAGCCCGCCCCCUUAAUGCUCCUCCCACCAGCCUCCUCUGGUUUGUAUAUCAGGGCCAUUUACCAUUUGCCUAGCAACUCUAUACUAGGAGCGGGUGGGAUAUUUCAAAUGUACAGCCACCAGACCCAGAUCAGAUUCCUAUUAUUACAGGUCAAAAUAUUUCCCAGGAUGCUUGACAGAGCCUUUCAUUUCCACCGGAGUGUUCAUGGUGUUUUUGAUAAAUACUUCUAGACUUCAUUUUUUUUUAAAUUACCCGGUCCUUUAAAUCCCACAUGUGACUUGAUUAUCUUGCACUAUAACCCCAGUAUGGACUGGAGUACAAUGUCCUUAUGGGAACACAGGCCUAUGGGGCAAUACGAUAGUGAUAUUUAUAAAGGUUAGAAGUUAGGGGCUUAUUCGAAAUGUGAAUAUCGCUGACAUGUCACCCUAUUCUUCAUGAAAACGAAUCAUGACUAUUCUACACAAAAGCCUACCUUUCUAUUUGAACGCUCCAUACCGAGGUACCCUCCCGAAUUUGACACUUUCUAUCUGAACGCUCCAUACCGAGGUACCCUCCUGAAUUUGACACUUUCUAUCUGAACGCUCCAUACCGAGGUACCCUCCUGAAUUUGACACUUUCUAUCUGAACGCUCCAUACCGAGGUACCCUCCUGAAUUUGACACUUUCUAUCUGAACGCUCCAUACCGAGGUACCCUCCUGAAUUUGACACUUUCUAUCUGAACGCUCCAUACCGAGGUACCCUCCUGAAUUUGAUUGACUCUACAUAGAAAAUUGACAGGUCUACUCACAGUGCUUGGAGAAGGAAACAUACACAUAGCACAUACUUCCAUUACUGCAGCAACACCAUCGUUUUGGUCAACAAGUUUCUCCAUGAAGUUAAACUCAGACAUCUCAGAAUUCACAAAUUCACACCAUACUGUAGGUCCCAGAGUGGUGGCACCAUACUGUAGUUCCCAGAGCGGUGGCACCAUACUGUAGGUCCCAGAGUGGUGGCACCAUACUGUAGUUCCCAGAGCGGUGGCACCAUACUGUAGGUCCCAGAGCGGUGGCACCAUACUGUAGGUCCCAGAGUGGUGGCACCAUACUGUAGUUCCCAGAGUGGUGGCGCCAUACUGUAGGUCCCAGAGUGGUGGCACCAUACUGUAGGUCCCUUCGUGGUGGAACCAUACUGUAGGUCCCAGAGUGGUGGCACCAUACUGUAGGUCCCAGAGUGGUGGCACCAUACUGUAGGUCCCAGAGUGGUGGAACCAUACUGUAAGUCCCAGAGUGGUGGCACCAUACUGUAGUUCCCAGAGUGGUGGCACCAUACUGUAGGUCCCAGAGUGGUGGAACCAUACUCUAAGUCCCAGAGUGGUGGAACCAUACUGUAGGUCCCAGAGUGGUGGCACCAUACUGUAGGUCCC